rnacentral:rRNA from 1 species
UACGUAGGAGGCAAGCGUUGUCCGGAAUCAUUGGGCGUAAAGCGCGUGUAGGCGGCUGGGUAAGUCCGCUCUGAAAGCCCGGGGCUCAACCCCGGGAGGCGGGUGGAUACUGCUCAGCUCGAGUCCGGAAGAGGAGUGUGGAAUUCCUGGUGUAGCGGUGAAAUGCGCAGAUAUCAGGAGGAACACCGAUGGCGAAGGCAGCACUCUGGGACGGUACUGACGCUGAGACGCGAAAGCGUGGGGAGCAAACAGG